rnacentral:rRNA from 1 species
GAUGAACGCUGGCGGCGUGCUUAACACAUGCAAGUCGAACGGAAAGGCCCAAGCUUGCUUGGGUACUCGAGUGGCGAACGGGUGAGUAACACGUGGGUGAUCUGCCCUGCACUUCGGGAUAAGCCUGGGAAACUGGGUCUAAUACCGGAUAGGACGAUGGUUUGGAUGCCAUUGUGGAAAGUUUUUUCGGUGUGGGAUGAGCUCGCGGCCUAUCAGCUUGUUGGUGGGGUAAUGGCCUACCAAGGCGUCGACGGGUAGCCGGCCUGAGAGGGUGUACGGCCACAUUGGGACUGAGAUACGGCCCAGACUCCUACGGGAGGCAGCAGUGGGGAAUAUUGCACAAUGGGCGCAAGCCUGAUGUAGCGACGCCGCGUGGGGGAUGACGGCCUUCGGGUUGUAAACUCCUUUCGCUAGGGACGAAGCGUUUUUGUGACGGUACCUGGAGAAGAAGCACCGGCUAACUACGUG